UAUACAACUCUCUCUCUCUCUCGCACGCGUUCAACAGACCUGUAUAGCUCUGCUCUUUCGCUCGUCAUCGUCGUCUUAAGAUCUCCAGUGGUAUGAAUCUCUCUCUCAAUCUCGCCCCCAAUCCCUCUCUCUCUCUCUCUCUCUCUAUCUAUCUAUCUAUCUCUAGCUACACAUACAUAUCAUACAAGGAAGCUCUGGUUCGAGUAAUUCGUCUCAUCCUCGUACAGGCAUUAAUUUGGUCCAAGAUGAGUACAGGGCUUCCUAUUGACAUUUCAUCAUCAAUGAAGGGCCAAAAUUAUAGUUCAUUCUGCAGGCUUGAUAUAGACAUUCAUCAGUAUGAUUUAUAUAAGGCAUAACUUAUAAUCCUAUGACUAUUGUUACAUUGUGAAUGUGCAUAGUUGUAAGUCUCC